UGCACGUCAAAUGAAAAUAAAAAUAUAAAAACUAAAGUUAAGUAUUUGUUAAAUACUUUUUUAAACAUAAAGUAUAUACAUAUCCAAACUAUUAUUUUAUAUUUUAAAAAAUAUUUAGAAAAUAUUAAACUUUAGUUUUUAUAUAUUUAUUUUCAUAGCUAAUAUAUUAUUAUAUAAUGAAAUUAAUUUAUUUAUUAAUCCGCGGUUCACCCGCGGUCGACCCAGUGAUCCAACGACCCGGUAAGUCGUCCGGUUCAGUGUCCGGAUCGGGUUUAAAAACAUUGGUGCAAAGAGAAUCAUACCACAUAAGAUUAAAAAAUCAUCUAGUCACAAUACAAUAUUUCUUAGCCACUUACCAUGUCAUACAUAAAAAAAAUGGGUCAAAGAUUUCUGCAUAAAUAGGUCGCCUGUUUUGUACCUUAAAACCAGACGUCGCUGUAACUCUUAUUUUCCCUGUAAUUAAUUCACCUCCACAUUACUACUCAUUAAACUCAAUCCUUUUACAUCAGGCAAUAGCGAUAAGAUCGGAAAAAUCCAGUGGCAAGUCUCCAAUUUCUCUGUUCUUUUUUGUACAUUUACUCAGAUUAUAAUUGAUAGACUGUGAUGUAUGCCUCUCUUUUGCUUCUUUGCAGAAUUGAUUUUAAGAUAAGAACUAUAUUUUGAGCUUAAUGGCAAAAGCGGCAUGCUCCAGAUUUGGGAUACGGCUGGUCAAGAACGUUGCUGAAUCAUCACCACUGGUGAGUGGGACCUUUUCAUAUGAGAGAGUUGCUCUCAUCGCCUACUCAACAUACUAUAUUAGAGAGGUUGAGAGUCCAAGGAUAUCUUUUUUAGUUUUUGCAAUCUACUUAGCGUUAUGGCUGAUGUUGUUUUUGUGUUCAGUACAUGUAUGUUCAGUUGCUUAAAUGGAUUAUCAUUCCACUUUUGCAGCUUAUUACGGAGGGGCAAUGGGAAUUUUUGCAGCUGGAUGAUGUCACAGACGAACCAUCCGUCAACAGUAGUUUUGCUGCUGUCUAAACAUGACAUCUUUUUUCUUACAUUUUUGCUUUGUUUUUGAACCUGUUUUCUUGAUCUUAUUGCAAAGCUUAAGAACUGGAUUCGUAAUAUCAAACAGCCUGCUUCAGAUGAUGUUGAGAAGAUAUUGUUAGGGAACAAACCCCGCAGUAACGCAAGUGCAUUCAUACUGAUUUACAACUUCAUGAUUCACGACUAAUCAAAUUAAUAGCGUUUUUGACAACUUUUUUUGGCAGACUGCCAAAAUCAAUAGGUCAAGCACUUGCUGAUAAAAAAGGAAGCCAAGCAUUGUCUCUUCAGAUCAACUUAGACUACUACAUUGUUCGUAUUCGUUUUGCAAGUUUCAGAACUUGCUACUUUUAUGGUUAAAACAGAUAAGGGCCAGAAUCUCUGGUCUUGAGCUUUGGGUGCACUGAGAAAUAUGUGACACAAGAGAAUGUGAUGGAGUUUCUUCUGUCUAGGUCAGAGGAAUUGAAACAAAGAGGAAUGAAUAUGUCAAUGCUAUCUGAAUUGAUAAAUGAAAUCUUAAAAAAUAAUAAGUAUCUGUUAUGACACAUUAUAAAUGAGAAAAUUUCAAAAAAUAUGACAACAUUGUUUUAGUGCAUAGUUGCAUCCAGCACUAACAUAUGAUGAUGUUCAAAGAGGUUAGGAGCCUUUGUUGUCUCUGUUUUUCAAAAAAAUAGUGAUUUUAUAGUGGUUAUUCCAUUAAUUUAGGGAAUAUUAUGAAUUUUUACUAAACUAAUUAAUAAAAAAAUUAUAACGAUUCUCAUAUACCAUCAAAAAGAGCUUAAAAUACAUUAAUACAAAUGUAGAAUAUGGUUAGAAUUUUUAAAACAACACUAAAUAUUAUAGGCUUCAAUAUAUAAAGUAUUUACCAAAAACUCAAUAUUUUCGUAGGGUGUUAGCACAUAGAUAUUGACAAAAUUUCAUAAAAUAUGAAAAUAUUUUUUUAAUGCGUAGUUGCAUCAU